UGACAGCUAUCUCUUGCUGUAGGAGGCAUU
rnacentral:piRNA from 1 species